rnacentral:misc_RNA from 1 species
GAUGAAGAACGCAGUGAAAUGCGAUACGUAAUGUGAAUUGCAGAAUUCAGUGAAUCAUCGAGUCUUUGAACGCACAUUGCGCCCCCUGGUAUUCCGGGGGGCAUGCCUGUCCGAGCGUCAUUGCUGCCCUCAAGCACGGCUUGCGUGUUGGGCCUCCGUCCUCCUCCCGGGGGACGGGCCCGAAAGGCAGCGGCGGCACCGCGUCCGGUCCUCGAGCGUAUGGGGCUUCGUCACCCGCUCUUGUAGGCCCGGUCGGCGCUUGCCGACACAUCAAUCUUUUUUCCAGGUUGACCUCGGAUCAGGUAGGGAUACCCGCUGAACUUAAGCAUAUCAAUAAGCGGAGGA